rnacentral:lncRNA from 1 species
CACAUCUUCUUCAUGUGAAUAUACUUGUAUGGCUUUGGUCAUCUUUCAAAUUCCCAUUAUUUGGUUGCCCUUUGGAGAUCUCAUCCAGGUUCAUCGUGAAGAUUUGAGGUUUCUUCUAACAGCCGCCAAAACUUGAAUUGGAGAUGCUAGAGAGGAAGAUGUAGAAAAUGGGCAAAAUAUCAGCCUGAUACCAUGAGGAUGAAUGAGAGAGAGCUUACCCUUGCCUCUCCACAACCACGGCAGCUUGGUGGUUUUGGACCCAGUCUGAAAAUGUAGAAACUGAGCUGAGACUUAUUUC